CAGUAGCCGCGGGAAAACGAGGGGGGCAGGCGUUGUUCGGAAUUACUGGGCGUAAAGCGCACGUAGGCGGCUUGGUAAGUUAGAGGUGAAAGCCCGGAGCUCAACUCCGGAAUUGCCUCUAAGACUGCCGAGCUAGUAGGUGAGAGAGGUAAGUGGAAUUCCGAGUGUAGAGGUGAAAUUCGUAGAUAUUCGGAAGAACACCAGUGGCGAAGGCGGCCAUCUGGGACAACACUGACGCUGAGGCACGAAAGCGUGGGGAGCAAACAGGAUUAGAUACCCCGGUAGUCCCUGUCUCUUAUAA
rnacentral:rRNA from 1 species